UCACAAGUAGACUUCAGCCGAGCUUCUUCAUAGUCGGGUCCCGCGACAACCGAUCUUCGAUCGAGCUUCUACAAUGGGACAGGACUCAUUGGUCAGGUCGCUACUCCGAGCUCCCACGACAACUGACCUUCGAUCGAGCUUCUACAAUAAGCGGUCUCCUUUCAGCCUUCUAUAAGAACCAGACUUCGACCGAACCUCCAUAACGGUUGGAUAUUGGA
rnacentral:lncRNA from 1 species